ACAGGGAUUGCCCUAGUAACGGCGAGUGAAGCGGCAACAGCUCAAAUUUGAAAUCUGGCUCUUUCAGAGUCCGAGUUGUAAUUUGCAGAGGGCGCUUUGGCUUUGGCAGCGGUCCAAGUUCCUUGGAACAGGACGUCACAGAGGGUGAGAAUCCCGUACGUGGUCGCUAGCUAUUGCCGUGUAAAGCCCCUUCGACGAGUCGAGUUGUUUGGGAAUGCAGCUCUAAAUGGGAGGUAAAUUUCUUCUAAAGCUAAAUAUUGGCCAGAGACCGAUAGCGCACAAGUAGAGUGAUCGAAAGAUGAAAAGCACUUUGGAAAGAGAGUCAAACAGCACGUGAAAUUGUUGAAAGGGAAGCGCUUGCAGCCAGACUUGCUUGCAGUUGCUCAUCCGGGCUUUUGCCCGGUGCACUCUUCUGCAGGCAGGCCAGCAUCAGUUUGGGCGGUGGGAUAAAGGUCUCUGACACGUUCCUUCCUUCGGGUUGGCCAUAUAGGGGAGACGUCAUACCACCAGCCUGGACUGAGGUCCGCGCAUCUGCUAGGAUGCUGGCGUAAUGGCUGUAAGCGGCCCGUCUUGAAACACGGACCAAGGAGUCUAACAUCUAUGCGAGUGUUUGGGUGUCAAGCCCGAGCGCGUAAUGAAAGUGAACGGAGGUGGGAACCCGCAAGGGCGCACCAUCGACCGAUCCUGAAGUUUACGGAAGGAUUUGAGUAAGAGCAUGGCUGUUGGGACCCGAAAGAUGGUGAACUAUGCUUGAAUAGGGUGAAGCCAGAGGAAACUCUGGUGGAGGCUCGCAGCGGUUCUGACGUGCAAAUCGAUCGUCAAAUUUGGGCAUAGGGGCGAAAGACUAAUCGA
rnacentral:rRNA from 1 species